rnacentral:rRNA from 1 species
AUUGAACGCUGGCGGCAGGCCUAACACAUGCAAGUCGAGCGGAGCGGCGGACGGGGGAGUAAGGCCUAGGAAUCUGCCUGGUAGUGGGGGAUAACGUCCGGUAACGGGCGCUAAUACCGCAUACUUUCAGAUGAGCCUAGGUCGGAUUAGCUAGAGGGUGGGGUAAAGGCCUACCAAGGCGAUGAUCCGUAACUGGUCUGAGAGGAUGAUCAGUCACGCUGGAACGGAGACACGGUCCAGACUCCUACGGCGGGCAGCAGUGGGGAAUAUUGGACAAUGGGCGAAAGCCUGAUCCAGCCAUGCCGCGUGAGUGAAGAAGGUUUUCGGAUUGUAAGUCACUUUGUGUUGGGAGGCGUUACCAACGAAAAAGGCACCGGCUAACUUCGGGCCAGCAGCCGCGGAAAUA